CCAUAUUUUCUUGGUAAAUUACGUCAUCCAAUUAUUAAUCUUAUUUAUUGUAAAAAGUUUUUAUUGUAGUAGUGGAUGAACAACUCUGAAGAGCCAUAGAAUUUUUUUUCUAAGGAUAAGCUUCGAUGACGGAUUGAACUGCACGUAUAGGUUUAACGUUGAAUCGUGUAAAACCAGAUUGUCGAAGAACAUAGCUCCAUUCCUUUAAGGUCCUCUCUUUCCCUUUAUUAGUAAUAGCCAUCAUCGUCAUGUCUAGCAUCAACCCUACGGCACCUAGCUCGUCGCCUUCUUUAUCUUCUUCAAGAACUGCUUCAACGAUUAUAACCUUCCCUUUAUCUUCUGGAAUGGCUUCUCGACAUUUUUUUAAGAUUUUAAUGCAUUCCUCGUCGUCCCAAUCAUGCAAUACCCACUGCAAUGUGACACGUAUGGAUUAAUCGUAUAAGACCAUAUAAUGAAGGGAAAGAAAGUACUAACCAUAAAAAACGCUGCGUCGGCGUUUGGGAUAGACAUGAACAUGUCUCCUCCUACGUUUUCAAUGCUAUCGGAUUUUGCUGAAACGGCGACGACAUGAGGGAGAUCAAAGUUGAUGCCUCGAAUCCAUGGGAAUGCCUUGACUAAAAGGCUCAAAGCAGUCCCGUUACCACCACCGACAUCGACCAGGCUUUCGACUCCGUCGAACACUUCGGGACAUCCUUCGAUUGUCGCCUGCACCGUCAGUCUAGCAUCGCAACCCAUGGCGUUGUUAAAGAGUUCUCUAAAGUCGGGGUUCGCCUCGGCGUAGCUCCAUAGAUCUUUCCCAUUUGCUACUUCAAAUGGUGAGAUAUUAUUGCCGGUUUCAAGGACUCGAGCACUAAGACUAUGCCAUGGUGCUAACCAAGUAGGGCUGGACACGAACAAUAUUAAAGCAGCCAUGGAUUUUUCUCCACGUUUUAUCAAAAGACGAGACAAUGGCGUCGAUGAGAAGCCUACAGUGUGGUGGUUGAUGUGCUCUUGUUUGAAUAUUCGGUCGUGGACCAUGAACCUCAUAAUGCGAUGAAGACGCGACGGUUCGCAUCGGAGGGCAGUGGCUAGCUCGGAUAGUGGCAUAGGGCUUCCAUAGUUUUCAAUAGUGUCGGCAAUCCCAAGCUCAAUGGCACAUUUAACGACAGCUAUUUUAGCAUAUCCUAACACAUAAUUCCAAAUCUUUAUUUCAGCUCUAGCUUCUUCCUUUACUGUCACUUCCAUAUCUCCCAUCUCAACUUUUUUUUUUAUUUUUUUUUAUUUUAGAACUUUUGGCAACUCUAUGCCCAAAUCUUGACCACGAAGCUACGAUUUAUAGAAGCAAAGGUAUUGGUUUGAACUAGGUCACAGUUCUUGAAUUUGAAAAUAUCUUGUCAAAUAUGCUCCUAACCACAAAACAAUUAUUAGAUUAAUUUGGUAAAAAAAUUACAGUCCAAUUAUUUGAGGUGUACCAAAUAGUAUAUGUAACUUAGAUUUUGGUUAACUUUUACCAUAGUACUUCAAUAGCAAUUUAUGAAUUUAAUCUUUAUAUUUUUUUAUUGAUUAAUUUCUAUCACAUUUCAAAAAUCGAGCUAAAAAAAAUUGGAUUAAUGGAUCAAGAAUUAACACGUCAUGACUUUUAAUUAAAACUUUGUAAAAUUAUGAUAAAAAUGAAUUAUCAACUAAGAAGAGAGUCUAAUUGACUUAGAGACUUGAGUUAUGUUUCGUGGGAUAUUCUCACAUUUUUCUGCCAUUCACUUCUACUUUAUUUAUGUGGUAAUGGGUGUAUGUGUGUGAUAGUGGGAUUGAUGGGUUUUUUUAACCAACUUUAUUCAGGAUCUUUCAUUUUCUGGACACUUUUACCCAAAAUCAGACACAGCUCAUCAUCUCAUAUUAUCUAAAAUUGUGUGGUAUAUAUGUUUAUAGGGUCAACUCAAAAAAAUAUUUUAAGAAAAUAAUAAUAAUUUUUGAAAAAUAAAAAUACAAUUUUAUAAAUUAUUGUUAUUUUAUCUUUUUUUUUCGUGUUUGUCUUCGUCCAUAAUGUUUAUCGAUGCUUAUCAGAUUAUUUACCCUAAAUAUUUAUUGUCACUCUUCCAGUAUAAGACUUAUUUCAUUCGAACUUUAAUUGGUUAAAACUUAAAAUGAAAUAUUAUUAUAUUAGAGAGAUUUAUUAUUGUUUAAAUUUGAAUAUAUUUUAAUUUUUAAUCUAUUAUAUUUUUGAAUUGAUUUAUUCUAAUUCUAAUUGAUCAAAUAUGUAUUAUUUGUAACUUUUACUAAAAUUUUUUUAAUACGAUACAUUAUGUUCGUACCCUUUAAAAUUUUUUUGAAAAAUUUUAAAAAUAGAAUAUAGUAUAAUCAAGUACGACCACGUAUGUAUGAUGAUAUAUAAGGAAUUAUAAAGUUGAAUUAAACUAAUAUAAACUGCAAAUAAAUUAAGAAUCGGAAUAAUUUGAACUAAAAACGACGUAGAACAAUUGUGCAGGAAGAGAUUCAGACUUUAGUACACAAAAUCUAAGACCUUGACCUUUAUCAACAACUUCGAAACUUACUUUAUCCGGAUCAAAAUAACAAUCAUAUUUUAAUUGUUUUUUGCAUUCAAUCAAAAAUUAUUCCAGAGAUAGAAUUGAAGAUUGAAAUAAUUAUUGAACAAAGGGAAUUACUAAACGAAGAGCAAGACUGAAACAUUUCUCAUGCAACAAAGUUUUAAUUGUUUUGUAGAAGUGGAUGAACGACUGUGAAGAGCCAUAGAUGUUGUUUUCUAAGGAUAACCCUCGAUGACGGAUUGAACUGCACGUAUGGGAUUAACAGUGAAUCAUUUAAAACCAGAUUGUCGAAGAACAUAGCUCCAUUCCUUUAAGGUCCUCUCUUUCCCUUUAUCAAUAUGAGCCAUCAUCGCCAUGUCUAGCAUCAACCCCACGAAACCUAGCUCGUCGUCUUCUUUAUCUUCUUCAAGAGCUGCUUCAACGAUUAUAACCUUCCCUUUAUCUUCUGGAAUGGCUUCUCGACAUUUUUUUAGGAUUUUAAUGCAUUCCUCGUCGUCCCAAUCAUGCAAUAUCCACUGCAAUUUGCAAUGUAUGGAUUAAUCGUAUAAGACCAUAUAAUGAAGGGAAAAAAAGUACUAACCAUUAAAAACGCUGCGUCGGCGUUUGGGAUAGACAUGAACAUGUCGCCUCCUACGUUUUCAAUGCUACCGGAUUUUGGUGCAACGGCAACGACAUGAGGGAGAUCAAAGUUGAUGCCUCGAAUCCAAGGGAAUGCCUUGACUAAAAGGCUCAAAGUAGUCACGUUACCACCACCGACAUCGACCAGGCUUUCGACUCCGUCGAACACUUCGGGACAUCCUUCGAUUGUCGCCUGCACCGCCAGUCUAGCAUCGCAACCCAUGGCAUCGUUGAAGAGUUAUCUAUGGCCGGGGUUUGUCUCGAACUAGCUCCAUGGAUCUUUCCCGUUCGCAGCUUCAAAUGGUGAGAUAUCAUUGCCGGUUUCAAGGACUCGAGCACUAAGACUAUGCCAUGGUGCUAACCAAGUCGGGCUGGACUCGAGCAAUAUAAAAGGGCCCAUGGAUUUUUCUCCAUCUUUUAUCAAACGACGAGACAAUGGCGUAGAUGAGAAGCCUACAGUGUGUUGGUUGAUGGGUUCCUGUUUGAAUAUUCGGUCGUGGACCAUGAACCUCAUAAUGCGAUAAAGACGCGACGGUUCGCAUCGGAGGGCAGUGGCUAGCUCGGAUAGUGGCAUAGGGCUUCCAUAGUUUUCAAUAACAUUGGCAAUCCCAAGCUCAAUGGCACAUUUAACGACAGCUAUUUUAGCAUACCCGAACACAUAAUUCCAAAUAUCUACUUCAGCUCUAGCUUCUUCUUCUUCGAUUCCACUCACUUCCAUUAUUAUUAUUUUUCUCUUGGAAAACUUUAUAAUUCUAUUCGCAACUCUUGAGGAUGAAAAGUUUUGUUGAAGACCCCGAUUUAUACGAGCAAAGGGUUAGAUUUUCUCUCUUCAAUUUCAGUUUUUUUCCUAAAAUAAAUUAAAUCUAAUUGAAAAUAUCAAAAUUUAGGAGAAAAACUGAUGUGACAUUAUGACAUUAAAUUAUUAAAAAAUGAUACAAAUGGCGUGUGAUUUCAAAUUCAUACAAUCAUGAUGAACAUCCUAAAAUAAUAUAAUUAUCAUGAUAUAACUUGGUGGAACAUUUUUUAAUAUAUAUAUUUAUGUGUUUUUUAAUGGAAUUUUUUUUAAUAUAGUUGUUUCCACCACUGAUUUCCUUUGGAAAAUUUUAGUUAUUAUCGUGAUUAAAAUUGCUUGAUUCUGCUCAACUAAUAAGGGAGAUUUUUUAUAAAUUGUAUUAUUGAACCUAAAAGUUUAACCAUGAAGGAGUGGUUGAAUGACAUUGAAUAAAAAUAAUAAAAGCUUAAUAUAUUAAUUGAUCCUUGAAUUUAACAGUUUUUCUCACAUUAGUUCUUAGAUAUUUCUUUGGAUUAUAUUAGUCUCUAAAUUUGGCAACCAUUACAGACACCAAUUUCUAAGGUUAAGGGUGGGUUUGGAUAGGCGGUACGUUUACUUACGAUUAGUGUAAAAACAGCAGUGGCAGUGAGAUUAGAUACUGUAGCGAUAUUGUAGUGUGAGACAAAAAGUAAGAUAAACGCACCGCACCCAGUCAUCCAUCCAAACUCACCCUAACACCAUUUAGUUUUUAGCAAUUUUGGUGACAUGGACUAAUAUCGUUGUGAUACAUGCUAUAUAUAUAUAUAUAUUCAACUUUCUUUAUAAUAACUACCCAUUAUAACACAACAUUUCGCUAUAACAAUAAAAUUUUUAUCAGAAUUGAUUUUUUAUGUUUUAUUUUAACCUUCUAUAAUAAUUUUUCACUUAUAACAAUAAUAGCUAUAAUUAUGAAGUACAUCCUUUGUUAAAUCAGUUCUUUAAAACAACACCUUGCUUAAAAUUUUAAGUAAAACUAUAACUAUUCAUAUAAGCAAACCUAUUACUUAGAAUUUGAUCUUCUUCUUUUGUUCUUUUCCUUUUUCUUUCUUUUAAUUUUACAUUUUUUUAUAACAUUGAGAGUUAAUCUUAAAAGAAAGAAUAACAAUAAAAGUUAUUAUUUAGAAUUUUUGGGUGUUUUCAUUUUUUUUUGUUUAUUUUCAAUCAAAUUUAGCUAAUAAAUUAGACUUUUAGCUUUUUAGGUGAAAAGAUCAGAAGAACAACAAAAUUACAAAAAAAAGACCAAAUUACACAAUGUGUAAACAUUGAGGGUUAGAUUGUUUAGAAUCAAGACUAAUUUGACCCAAUAUAUAAAUGUUAAAGAUUAAGGUUGCCAUUAUGCCAAUUUUAGAAGCUACCACCGCUAGCUUGUUGGUGACAAAAAAUGAUAAAAUUUAAUAAUUAAAUAACUAUUUUAUAACUUUUUAUAAUUGGGUGAUCAAAAUAAAAUUUACUAAUAUUUAAGUGAAUACUAAUUAAUUUAUUUAUUUUUCAUUUCGAUAAACAAACAAAUCGUGGACCAUAGAAUUUAAUCUCUCUUCACAAAAUCAGACAUGGGUUCUUUCUUUGGACAAUGGUUACCCAAAAUAGAGAAAAAUUUUCACAUAAAUGUUCGAUAUGAUUAGUGCCCCCACUAAACAGCUCAUCAUCUCAUAUUUAUCUAAAAUUGUGGUAUAAAUGUUUAUAGGGGUUAUGGGACAUCUCAAAUGGAUUAACGCUUCUUUUGGAGAGGAGUUAUGACUUUGUAAUAAUCCAAACAGACAGUAUAGAGGCCGUUCAAGUUAUUAAAGACUAGGCUUGUAAGGACUUGGACUCAACUUUAAUAAGAAGAAAUCAUCAAAUUUUGUCUAGUAUUAGACAUUGGGACAUUUGUCACAUUCCGAAGUCGAUGAAAUUGCUAAACUAGUUCAAGAAAUGAGGGAAUGUCUUUCAAGUGUUUGAAGUGUCCCCAUUGGGAAGUUUUAUUUUAUCGUAAUUUUUUAGGUUUUGUAUUUUCACCAAAUUUUUUUUAAGAAAAUAGAAAAUAAUAAUAAUUUUUGAAAACUCAAAGUACAAUUAUAUUAAAUUUGUGAUUUCAUCCAUAAUGUUAUUCAUAUCUAUCUAAUUAUUUGUCCUAAUCAUCCGAAAUUUAGGCCUAGUUUGGAUUGGUGGUACGUUUAACUGUAGUUAGUGUAAACAUAACGGUGGCGAUGAUAUUAGAUACUGUAGCGUGAGACAAAAAAUAAAUUAAAAGCACCGCACCCAAUCACCCAUCUAAAUCCACCUUAGUUAGUUACAAUCUAAAAUGAAAUAUAUAUUAAUAUAAUAAUAUAUUAUAUUGGUGUUUUGUUCAGUUUUAUUAUGGUUUAAAUUCAAAUAUAUUUCAAAUUUCAAUCUAUUAUAUUUUAUAUUGAGUUAUUCUAAUUUUAAUUGAUCAAAUAUGUAUUAUUUGUAACUUAUACUAAGCUUCUUCUUUUUUAAGUAACUCAUACUAUAUUUGUAGUUAUAAAUUCUUUCAAAAAAAUAAAUUAGGAUUCAUUAUAACAACACAAGCCAUGUUUUAAUAGAGCGUAUUACGAACUCAAAUCCUUUGAAUUUUUUUGAAAAAGUUUACAACUAGAAUAUAGUAAAUCAAGUACAACACAAUUAUAAAGUUGAAUUGAAUCAAUAUAAAUUACAAACAGAUUAAGAACGGGAAUAAAUUAAAUUAAAAUUCACACGUGACAAUUGCGUAUGAUGAGACUCAAGUUUUGGUAUACAAGACUCAAAAUCUCGACUUUUACCAACAAUGCCAAAACUUAUUCGACAGACAAUUCAAACCUCUUAUCCGAUAUCAAAAUACCAGUUGUAUUUUAAUUAUUUUUCACAAUCAAUCUAAAACUAUUCCAGAGGUAGAAUUAAAAUUGGUAUCAGUUUUAAAUAAAACCGGAUUAAUUGAUAUAUUGAUUCCAACAGAAUGAUUUUAAAGAAAACCACUCAAAACCAAGAUUUAUUGUAGUAGUGGAUGAACAACUGUGAAGAGCCAUAGAAUUUUUUUUUUCUAAGGAUAAGCUUCGAUGACGGAUUGAACUGCACGUAUAGGUUUAACGUUGAAUCGUGUAAAACCAGAUUGUCGAAGAACAUAGCUCCAUUCCUUUAAGGUCCUCUCUUUCCCUUUAUUAGUAACACCCAUCAUCGUCAUGUCUAGCAUCAACCCUACGCCACCUAGCUCGUCGCCUUCUUUAUCUUCUUCAAGAACUGCUUCAACGAUUAUAACCUUCCCUUUAUCUUCUGGAAUGGCUUCUCGACAUUUUUUUAGGAUUUUAAUGCAUUCCUCGUCGUCCCAAUCAUGCAAUACCCACUGCAAUGUGCCAUGUAUGGAUUAAUCGUAUAAGACCAUAUAAUGAAGGGAAAGAAAGUACUAACCAUGAAAAACGCUGCGUCGGCAUUUGGGAUAGACAUGAACAUGUCUCCUCCUACGUUUUCAAUGCUAUCGGAUUUUGCUGAAACGGCGACGACAUGAGGGAGAUCAAAGUUGAUGCCUCGAAUCCAUGGGAAUGCCUUGACUAAAAGGCUCAAAGCAGUCCCGUUACCACCACCGACAUCGACCAGGCUUUCGACUCCAUCAAACACUUCGGGACAUCCUUCGAUUGUCGCCUGCACCGUCAGUCUAGCAUCGCAACCCAUGGCGUUGUUAAAGAGUUCUCUAAAGUCGGGGUUCGCCUCGGCGUAGCUCCAUAGAUCUUUCCCAUUUGCUACUUCAAAUGGUGAGAUAUUAUUGCCGGUUUCAAGGACUCGAGCACUAAGACUAUGCCAGGGUGCUAAGCCAGUCGGGCUGGACAUGAGCAAUAUGAAAGCAGCCAUGGAUUUUUCUCCACCUUUUAUCAAAUGACGGGACAAUGGCGUCGAUGAGAAGCCUACGGUGUGUUGGUUGAUGGGUUCUUGUUUGAAUAUUCGGUCGUGGACCAUGAACCUCAUAAUGCGAUAAAGACGUGACGGUUCGCAUCGGAGGGCAGUGGCUAGCUCGGAGAGUGGCAUAGGGCUUCCAUAGUUUUCAAUAACGUCGGCAAUUCCAAGCUCAAUGGCACAUUUAACGACAGCUAUUUUAACAUAUCCUAACACAUAAUUCCAAAUCUUUAUUUCAGCUCUAGCUUCUUCCUCUAUUGUCACUUCCAUAUCUCCUAUCUCAACUUUUUCUUUUAAAAUUUUGUUAUUUUAGAACUUUUGGUAACUCUAUGCCCAAAUCUUGACUAUGAAGCUACGAUUUAUAGAAGCAAAGGUAUUGGUUUGAACUAGGUCACAGUUCUUGAAUUUGAAAAUAUCUUGUCAAAUAUGCUCCUAACCACAAAACAAUUAUUAGAUUAAUUUGGUAAAAAAAUUACAGUCCAAUUAUUUGAGGUGUACCAAAUAGUAUAUGUAACUUAGAUUUUGGUUAACUUUUACCAUAGUACUUCAAUAGCAAUUUAUAAAUUUAAUCUUUAUAUUUUUUUAUUGAUUAAUUUCUAUCACAUUUCAAAAAUCGAGCUAAAAAAAAUUGGAUUAAUGGAUCAAGAAUUAACACGUCAUGACUUUUAAUUAAAACUUUGUAAAAUUAUGAUAAAAAUGAAUUAUCAACUAAGAAGAGAGUCUAAUUGACUUAGAGACUUGAGUUAUGUUUCGUGGGAUAUUCUCACAUUUUUCUGCCAUUCACUUCUACUUUAUUUAUGUGGUAAUGGGUGUAUGUGUGUGAUAGUGGGAUUGAUGGGUUUUUUUAACCAACUUUAUUCAGGAUCUUUCAUUUUCUGGACACUUUUACCCAAAAUCAGACACAGCUCAUCAUCUCAUAUUAUCUAAAAUUGUGUGGUAUAUAUGUUUAUAGGGUCAACUCAAAAAAUAUUUUAAGAAAAUAAUAAUAAUUUUUGAAAAAUAAAAAUACAAUUUUAUAAAUUAUUGUUAUUUUAUCUUUUUUUUUCGUGUUUGUCUUCGUCCAUAAUGUUUGUUGACACCAUUUUUUUGGAUGAAAACGGGGUCGACUUGGAUUUUGAAAAAAGAAUGAAAACGGGAGUCGCUACCAAUCUUUUUUUGAUGAGGUGUGAUCGGGUCACCUCGAAAAGUGGUUGUUUUUAAUAAACAAUUUAAUUUUUAUUAAAACAACGAUUUUGGUCUGCGAAAUUCAGAAAAACGGGUUCGGGAGUCGGUUACGCACGAGGAAGGGUUAGCACCCUCGAUACGCCCAAAAUUGGUACCUAGUUGAUUACUUAAUGUCUUGGUGUCGAAAAUUAAAAACUCGAAAAGAAUUUAAAAAUACGAUCCUUAAAAGAAACUCUGAUAACGUGAAUUGAAAUAUAAGACUCUCUUGUUCCGAAUGAAUAUCACAUCCAGCACGUUAGGACACGAUACUCUAAACCAUCGAAACCAAGAUCACCUUAUAGUUUAAUGAAACCAUACUUUGAAGCUUUAAGAGGAUAUUUGGCUAUUUAGUCAAACGAGAAAUCGAAACCCAGCACGUUAGGGCACGUUUUCUCGAGUUUCCAAACGCGAAAUAUUGCCUUAUUUAGAAAAAUCUUAUCUCGAGGUAAUAAGAUGUCAUAUCCGGUGAGUUAGGACACAACACCUCAAAUCUCAGAGAGUAAGCAUUUUAUUUAACACUCGUAUUAUGAUUUUAAAGAAUAUGCCGUUAUUUAGGUUAAACGAGAAAAAUCGAAACCCAGUAAAUUAGGACACGAUUUUCUCGAAUUUCCAAGAACAGAAUAUUGCCUUAUUUUAUUUUUGUAUAUUCAAAUAAAUAUGUAUGCAAUGUUUAAAACCAUGCAUAUCAUUUGAGUUUCAGUGUAAAGAAUGAACCUUUAACAUGGCUCAUGAUGUGAUUGGAAUAAUAAUAGAAUGAUAACACGAAUAAACAACAUAACGACUUAUCUAUAAUAAUAAAACAACGAGUAUGCCGGGGCAAUUAGCAACUAAAUCUAAUAUUAAUUAAACCAUGAUAUACAUAAGAAUAAUAAUGAAAGAAAGUGGAAUAUGUAUAAAAAAUGAAUAUGCAAACAUCAAAAAGAAAUAAAUAAAUAACAAAGAAGGGUUAAAAUAAUAUAACAAUGACGAUAGUAAGAUUUGGUGAAAACAUGAGAUUAUAGACAAUCAUAUUUAAGAAAUAUAUGUAAUAAUGAACAAAAAAAAAUUGAAAUUAUAUAAAUAAAUAAAUCAAACAACUUGAAGUAAUACAAAAUUUAAGGAUAAAUAGGUGUACGUGUAAUAUUACAUUUAGAAAUAAAAAUAGCAAACAAAUAGUUAAAAGUAAUGUUGGAUAAUAAUCUAGGUAGAGUAUUAAAAAGGAAUAAUAAUAAAAAUACUAUGAUAGUAAUGAUGACAAUAUUAAUAAUCAAAUUGCAACAACAAAACGAACAAAGUGGCUCAAAAUAAAAUCAAAAUCAAAAUAGGAGGUGCAUAAUAAUAAAAGGUAAAAUAUAAGAAAUACAUAAUAAUAAUAAUAAUAAUAAUAAUAAUAAUAAUAAUCCGCGUAGUAGAAAACACAAAUAAUCUAAAUUUUAAAAUAUACGUGUAUAUAUAUAGAUAUAUAUAAAAGUACUUAAAUGGAAUAUUAUACAAAAUCUUAGGAUAAUAUAACAUGAAAAUUCUAAAAUAAUGAUUUUUCAACAAGGCAAAACCAAUAAAGCAAUUUUGGCAAAAAGAGAAAAAAAUAAUAAUAAAUAAAUAAAAAUAAUAAUAAUAAAUAAAAAAAUUGAAUGAAUCCUUUUGGAAAUAAGUAUUGAAUAGAUAAUAAGCCUAAUUAAAAUAAAUUUAAAAUAAAAGGGGUAAUCUGAAAAUAAAGAAACCAACAUGGGGGAUCACUGUGUAAUGUGCGCAAAUGCACAAGGACUAAAACUGGAAAUAAUCCAGGUCCCAUAAUGUAGUGCUUAGACGCGGACCGAAUUGCCAACAUGCGUAAAUUUUGAAGCCAAAUAAAAAAAGGAAGUGAAAUAAAUAAGGCAUGGUUGAGUGCUUGCACAAAGGGGGAGGACUCAAUGUGAAAUUCCCCUAUUUUCAACUUAAAAGGCGCAGAUCAGGCCUGUUAAACAAGUUGAAAUGCGGGCCUUCCUUUUCACAAAUAAUUUAAAACCCCUUUUUCAAAUGCAGCCACCUUUUAACUAAAAAAUCUAUAAUCCUAAAAUCAAUUAAACAUUGCAGCAAAAAAAAAGGAAAGAAAAAGGGGAAACCCAAAAUGUUUGCCCCCGUUUGGUCUGCCGUUCAACCACCAUCAGUCCACCAUGAACGAUGGAUGGUGGUCUACCAAAGCGUUCCCCUUAUGCCUUCAUUUAAAGCCCAGCCUCAAGACUCAUCAAUUUCGGCCUCAAAACCCCUCUCAACCUUCGACGCCGGCUAAGAAGACGAGGAUUUGGUGGCUCGUUCGCAAAGUAAGUCUUCUAUCUUCUCUUUAUUAUACUAAAACGCAUGCAGAGCAAAAAAGAAAACAAAAUAGACCUGAGAAAAAUAAUGUACAAGACUUUUGAAAUCUUUUUUUCUUUCUGAUUGCUCUUUUUUUUUUAUGCUUCAAUCUAUGUGUGUAUAAAAAUACAAUGUUUUUUUUUAUUCCCGAAAUUCCCCUAUUUUCAAUCAGUUCCCUCUCCCCAAAAUACCAUCGAUCCCCCUGUACAAUUUUUGAUUCGGGUUUUUAUAACCCAUUUUCAUCUAAUUUCCUAUUGUUUCUGUUUUGUCUCUUUGCAUGGGAUGGGCACGAUGGAGGUGACAGAGGCAUGGGGUGCAGACGGUGAUGGGCAUGCGUGGAGGCUGGCGCGGAGCAGAGGCGUGCGAGGUUGAGUGGUUGCGCACAUGGGGCAACGGCGCAAGUGGGCAAGUGGGGGGUUUGCUGGUAUGGGCCCGGGCAGAUUUUGGGCUUUACAGCUGCCCCUCUUUGCUCGUUGUCGUGUAACGAAAACAGAGCAAAGACCAAGGAAGACCAAAUUUGCCCGGGCUUACCGAGCCUUGGCUUCUUUUGGUACUUUUCUUCUUCAAGUAGCCUCGUUCUGUUCUGCUGUGUCUCGUUGCUUCAAUCCACUUCACUGCGCUCCAGAGAAACAUGACUUAAAUCUAUUUUGCUGCAACUCCAUGGGGAUGAGAUUUGUUGUUUUCUUCGUCUGCUCCACUACUGCUUAGGGAGAUAAGACUGAAUGCGAUCUGCUCCACUACUGCUUAGGGAGAUAAGAUCUGUAAUCUUCAAUCUACUUCAUGCCAAUACAUGAGACAAGAUCUACUUUCUUCGAUCUACUUUACCACCAGUAUGGGAAGACAAGAUCUGUAUCUUGGAUCCACUUCCUAUCAAUAUAGGAAGAUAGGACCUGCUAUCUUCGAUCUACUUCACGCCAAUACAUGAAGACAAGAUCUGCUUUCUGCGAUCUACUUCGCCACCAAUAUGAGAAGACAAGAUCUGCGUCGUCGAUCCACUUCCAAUCAUUAUGGGAAGAUAGGACCUGUUAUCUUUGAUCUACUUCACGCCAAUACAUGAAGACAAGAUCUGCUUUCUGCGAUCUACUUCGCCACCAAUAUGGGAAGACAAGAUCUGCGUCGUCGAUCCACUUCCAAUCAUUAUAGGAAGAUAGGACCUGUUAUCUUUGAUCUACUUCACGCCAAUACAUGAAGACAAGAUCUACUUUCUUCGAUCUACUUCGCCACCAAUAUGGGAAGACAAGAUCUGUAUCUUGGAUCCACUUCCUAUCAAUAUAGGAAGAUAGGACCUGCUAUCUUCGAUCUACCUCACGCCAAUACAUGAAGACAAGAUCUGCUUUCUGCGAUCUACUUCGCCACCAAUAUGGGAAGACAAGAUCUGCGUCGUCGAUCCACUUCCAAUCAUUAUAGGAAGAUAAGACCUGUUAUCUUUGAUCUACUUCACGCCAAUACAUGAAGACAAGAUCUGCUUUCUUUGAUCUACUUCGCCACCAAUAUGGGAAGACAAGAUCUGUAUCUUGGAUCCACUUCCUAUCAAUAUAGGAAGAUAGGACUUGCUAUCUUCGAUCUACUUCACGCCAAUACAUGAAGACAAGAUCUGCUUUCUGCGAUCUACUUCGCCACCAAUAUGGGAAGACAAGAUCUGCGUCGUCGAUCCACUUCCUACCAAUAUAGGAAGAUAGGAUCAGCUAUCUUCGAUCUAUUUCUUGCCCCGGGAGAUAGAACUAUCAGCUUCAAUGUACUCCAUUGUAAUCAGGGAGGUAAAAUCUGCCAUCUUCGAUCUGCUUUGCUGCCAAAUACAGGAAGGCAAGAUCUGCAAUCUUCAAUCUAUUCCACUGCCAAAUACAGGGAGAUAGAGUUAUCGGCUUCAAUGUACUCCCAUGUAGUCAGGGAGGUAAAAUCUGCCAUCUUUGAUCUUCAAUCUAUUCCACUGCCAAAUGCAGAGAGAUAGAGUUAUCGGCUUUAAUGUACUCCACUGUAGUCAGGGAGGUAAAAUCUGCCAUCUUUGAUCUUCAAUCUAUUCCACUGCCAAAUACAGGGAGAUAGAGUUAUCGGCUUCAAUGUACUCCACUGUGGUCAGGGAGGUAAAAUCUGCCAUCUUUGAUCUUCAAUCUAUUCCACUGCCAAAUACAGGGAGAUAGAGUUAUCGGCUUCAAUGUACUCCACUGUGGUCAGGGAGGUAAAAUCUGCCAUCUUUGAUCUUCAAUCUAUUCCACUGCCAAAUGCAGAGAGAUAGAGUUAUUGGCUUCAAUGUACUCCACUGUAGUCACAUGGAGGUAAAAUCUGCCAUCUUUGAUCUGCUUCGCUGCCAAAUACAGGAAGGCAAGAUCUGCAAUCUUCAAUCUAUUCCACUGCCAAAUACAGGGAGAUAGAGUUAUCGGCUUCACUGUACUCCUCUGUAGUCAGGGAGGUAAAAUCUGCCAUCUUCGAUCUGCUUUGCUGCCAAAUACAGAAAGACAAGAUCUGCAAUCUUCAAUCUAUUCCACUGCCAAAUACAGGGAGAUAGAGUUAUCGGCUUCAAUGUACUCCUCUGUAGUCAGGGAGGUAAAAUCUGCCAUCUUUGAUCUGCUUCGCUGCCAAAUACAGGAAAGAAAGAUCUGAUAUCUUCAACCAGCUCUGCUACAAACGAGAGAGGCAAGGUUUGUCUUCGAUCUGCUUCGCUGUCAGUGCAGGAAGGCAAGAUCUGCUAUCUUCAACCAGCUCUACUACAAACGAGAGUGGCAAGGUUUGUCUUUGAUCUGCUUCGCUGUCAAUGCAGGAAGGCAAGAUCUGAUAACUUCAACCAGCUCUGCUACGACCGAGAGAGGCAAGGUUUAUCUUCAAUUUUUACUGAUCUGUUCUCUAGGGAACAUGACAUGUAUAAUGAACCUAAUUAUGCCUAAUGAUUAGGAUGGCAUGAUCAAAAUGAAUCAAAUGCUCCUAACUAGACAUGCGUGAAUGGUAUUUGAAUGAAUGCAGAAUGUCAUGAAAAUAAUUCCUUAAUGCUUAGGUUAUCAUCGCUCAAAAGCUUAUUAAGGCUUUAUCACUAACGUGUCGCAACGCCUUCUUGACCAGCCGGCAUUUCUAAAGAAACACGUAAUCUGAUUGCCCCCACUGUGAACAUCGUAGUUCAAUCCAUUGUGACAUAAAAUUUGUACCAUCAAUCUCCUACUGUAACCCAAGGGUAGAAAGAUAUGGCUUUUUUCAAUCUUCUCCUAUCGUAAUUCAAGGGUAUAAGAUUUAAAUCCUUCUGGUCCCUUACAUCGUUCCCAAGGUGUCGUACCAAAGACUCAUGCGCAAACAAGGGCUCUCCUUCCCGAGGUAACCUCUUCCUAUUGCCUGAAGAUCAUCACUUUCUUGUUUAUUCAAGCUUUGUCACCAACAUGGCAUCUUGUCAAUCAACGCAUUUGACGACAAAAAUCCAAAGAGAAAGUCUAAAUUUAGACUAUUCCUUCCCAAAUUUCCAACCUUUAAAUUUGGAGUGUUCUAAACAAUUAUCCUGCUUCAGGCUCCUAUAUUAUUUAGAAACUUUUCAGAGUAAUAUGCAAAACUUCCUUCGUGAAAAUUUUAUUAGUCCAUUAAUCAUUAUUCCAAUGCAACAUGCUUGCAAAAGAUCAUAACGAUAGAUAAAAUAGAAUUGAUUUGAGAGCAUAGCUCAAAAUGGAUAAACUAUCAAGGAUAGCAAGAAUAAAAGGGGAAUUAAUUGGAAACACGUAUCUUGAAAAAGAAUGAAGUAUUCCAAGAAGAAAAAAAAGAAAAAAAAAGUAUGAGGACAAGAUGCCCCAGAUAUCGUAGCUUGAACUUCUCUGUACCAACUCUUUGAAAGACCAUUCUGUGUUUGACAUGUGUUUAGGAGAUCUACAAGACUUUGUCGAUGCCCCAAGAUGCUACCUACCCUUUCCUGUUGAAUCAGGUAUAGCAAGAUCAUUACAUGCCCCGAUUUGAUCAAAAUUUGAGCUGCUCUGAUCGCCUCAUGCCCCAAUUUGAUCCAAAAUUUGAGUCGCCCUUUUUUUGGGUUUUCAACUCAAGCCCCUUUGGUCUCAAGGCGCCCUUUGCGGGUUUUCACCUUGGCCUCUCCUUUUUUCACUCAUUUUACUUUUCUUCUUUUUCAUUAAUUUUCUCUUUUUUAAGUGAAGUAUUUGUUCCUUGAAUCAAAAUUCUCAAGAUUAGGCAAGUUCUUGCCAUCUAUCUUGGUUAAUACCUACACUCUCCCAGAUAAAGCCUUCCACAUAAGGUCCUUCUGGCUUGGCAUCCACUUUCUUCUGAAGUCUCCUUUGUAUGGGAAGGAUCUUCUUUGAUAUCGGGUCCCCUUUGUGGAAUUCUCUGGAGCAAACCUUGUUUUGGUGAACUCAUACCAUUUGCUUUUGGUACAUUUGACCAUGAUAGAUAUUUUGAACAUUCCUCUUCAACCAGGAUUGGAUCCAAAAACUCAAAGAGAAGGAAAUCUUGACCUCAAUAGGUAAAACCGCGAUAAGCCCAAAAAGAGGGCGUUGCCCUGAGAGAGUUUUUUUUGGCGAUAUGGUGUUAAUCUUGAACAGACUGCAAACUUCUGAUAUUGUGCUCUUGUUCAAAUUUAGUGCAUUGUCAAAUAUGAUCCUUUUCGACUCUUCAAGCUGACGUGAUCUUUUGCUGUCGACUUUGUGACAUUGGCAUAUGAAGCAGCUUCUUCCUGUGAAGAUAAACUGAUGACCGCUAGACUCUUUUGACGAGAUUGACCUAACAACCUUCAUGCCCCACAUAGGGGAAGUCAUGGACUCCAUUGAUUUUUCGUAAGGUGGAAUCUGUUUUUCACCUUGUUCUACCCUCCUCAAUAAGUACGGAGAUAGGCCACAAUCUAUGUCCUCUUCGAAGUCAUGAGAUUCCUCUAAACACAUGUCUCACUCAAAAGGAAGUUCUGAGUCUGUAGCAGUGUCAUUCAUGUCGUUGAUAUUCAGGGACCCGUUGUAGGUGCAAAAGAAUAUACAAAGAAUGUACGAAUUCAAGAAUAAUUAUCUGUACAGCAUGAUUAUGAAUGAAUGAAUGAUUUGGAAGAAAGAAUGAAAGAUUAAAAAUAAUUAUUCAUAAAGAAUGAAAGAAUAUUAGCUCAAAAAUGAUCGCAAAGAUGUAUUAAAAUAACGACGUUCAGACAUGAGCCUAUUUCACAAAAAGAGUUCAUAUUGCUUCAGGCUAAAAGCAACAAGUUUAUUCUGAAUAUUACUCUAAGUAGGUUCUAAAUACUACAGAGACUUCUUUUACAGUCUGAUUUAUUUAGAACACUUCCAAGUUUAUAAGGGUCGACAUCUAACAAAGUCCCUUCUUCAAUUGUGUCUUCAUGCAUGUCAUUGAUGUGAACACUUCCCAACAUCUCUUCAUACGUCGCAUUCACCUUAUUGUCAAUCAUGAUUGGGUAGCAGAUUUUCUGCCGUAGAUGAGUCACCCAACUUGACAAUACCCAUGUUGAUGAGUUUUUCAACUAGUUUCUUGAAGGUGAUGCAAUUCUCUAUUGAGUGCCCCGUAAUUCCUGCGUGGUAGUCACAGUGUGUGUUCGCAUUAUACCACUUUGUAUAUGGAGGUUGUGGGGGUUUUGAGUAGGAAGGGGAAACAACAUGUGCAUCGAAUAAAUUUUGAUACAACUCUUCAUAUGACAUUGGAAUUGGUGUGAACUGGAGGUUCUCAGUACCUGGUUUCACUCCAGGUUCUUGUCUCAAUGAGCCUUGUUGGUUAGCGACCAUUUUUCUUGGCUGAUUCACCGUAAUUGGUUUUGAAUAACCCUUGCUAUAUGUACUCGUGUUGUUCACCUCAUUGUCUUUGUGCUUUGGGGUUGAUCUCUUGAUGCCUUCUUCCGCAUCUAUCUUCCCACUUCUUACUGCAUUUUCAAUCAUUUCACCAGACAUCACUACAUCUGAGAAGCUCAUGGUAGCACUUCCUAACAUGUGGUUAAUGAACGGUGCUUUCAGAGUGUUGAUGAAAAGCAUCGUGGUUUCUUUCUCUAAAAGAGGUGGCUGGACCUGUGUCGCGACCUCUCUCCAUCUUUGGGCAUAUUGCCUAAAGCUCUCACUUUGCUUCUUUUCCAUGUUCUGCAAUGUGAUUCUAUCGGGUGUCAUAUCUGUCACAUGGUUGUACUGCUUUAUGAAAGCCUGUGCUAAGUCCUCCCAUGAAUGGAUGUUGACGCGACUUAACUGGUUGUACCACUUAGCUGCAGACCCGAUCAGACUGUCCUGGAAGCAGUGGAUCAACAGUUGAUCAUUGUUGAUGUAUCCUAUCAUUCUUCGACAGAACAUAGUUAUAUGAGCUUUAGGACAACUAGUCCCGUUGUACUUUUCAAACUCCGGCAUUUUGAAUUUGGGAGGGAGUACUAGAUCAGGUACCAAACUCAAGUCCUUGGCGUCGACUCCACAAUGGUAGUCGGUGUUCUCCAUGGCUCUAAAUUUCUCCUCUAGCCAUCUACAUCGGUCCUCAAGUUGUUUUGACAAGUCUGUUUUUACUUUCUCCAUCUCUGCCAUGUUAUCGAGAUCAGGAAAUACGGGGUUGGUAGGAUUAUCACCGGGAUUAGAACCCGAGCCUAUUGGAAAGUUUAUCGAUGCCGGGGCACCGACCUGGUAUUGGGAUCUAAUGGUAACAGGUGCCCUCUGCGGGUACACCUCUGGUUGCACUUGGAUGUUAGUUGGGGUGAAACCUGGAGGAUAGGCAGGGUCAUCGUGAUCAUCCCCAGCAUCAACUAAAGGGCCUUUUCCUUUUUCAUUCCUUCCAGUCAAUAACUGCUUUAAUUGGUUCAUCACAGUGUUCUGGGAUUCUAACAUGUCUUGCUGAAUUUUUUCCAGUCGUUCGUGCAUCUGAUCUUGCAUCUCUCGUUGCAACUGUUCCAAUCUUUCCAACCUUUGAUCCAUUGUUUUCGUUUGGCGACGAGUACCGUAGUGAUAUUUGAUUAGAUUUUUGUUGGUUUCCAGGGUAACUGAAAUAAUUUUACCUAGUUAGGGUCACUUCGUGAAAGUCUAAUGCAUAUGAUGUAAUGCAAAUGCAUGAAAUGAAUGCCAAAAGAAACGUUAAUUCUUGGUUCAAUUCUAUUAGAACAACUGGAAUAGAAAACAAAUCUAUUUACAUAAAGCAGAUAUAUAUACGGCUUUGCCGUCAUAGGCGGGAACAUUCGAUCCUCUUCUUCAUUCGAGCGUUAAGAUAAAUCUCCCGAACUCUUCAAAAGGGACAUCCCUUCUAUCUCUUUUUUCUUCAUCUGGGCCGCGACUCGUUACUCAUUCAUCCUUGUGAUGCUCGUUGGCUUCUCUUUAAAAAGUUUAGCGGUUCUCGAAUAAUCUUUAUCAUCUUGAGUCUUCAGCCAACGAGGCAAAGUCAUAUAGUCCUCUACUGAACUAUCAUCCUUCUUUUGUUAUAUCUUCUCGGACCGUAUUAGGACAACCGUAUCGUCAUCCACUUUAUCAAGAAACCCAUUUUCUUAUGACAAGCUCUCUAUUUAGCAAUUGAACGUGAAUCAACACCUCUUUUUAUGAUGAAAAUGCAAUGCAAUCAUAGCAAAAAGAAAACAUGUUAGUACAAAGCAAAAGCAAGCAAGAAUAAAUAGAACACCUAUUUGGGUGAAUACUAGGGGUUCGAAGUGGUUCUACCUAGGGUGGGCUCCUAAGGUUCACUACAUGGGGUUUGGUUCUAAAGUAAGGGUACCUGAACCAGCAGAUUCCUCGAUCCUCACCCAUUAUAGGCUCAUAUGGACCGAGUUCAGUUCAGGGGAAUACAUUUCCCUAUGGCCAUGCGGAGAUGAAAAUCUCACGAAGACAUAGGUACGGAUGUAUCCCGGAAGCGAUUCACUAUCCCAUGCGGAGGUGAAAACCUCACGAAGGCGUAGUUUCUCACUCCCACUUAAAAGGGUAUGACCAGCGGUCAUGCAAUGCAAUGUGCAGAGGUAUAAAACAAAAUACAGAACAUGAUAAAAAAAAUAUAACUCAAAAUAAAAGAGAUGCAAUGAGAGGAUCGUAAAUUUAAAUCGAAUUUUCCACUUUCAACCAAAAGACAAGAAAUAAUCAACACGUGGCUUGACUCUCUUACUAUCCCCAGUGGAGUCGCCAAGCUGUUGACACCAUUUUUUUGGAUGAAAACGGGGUCGACUUGGAUUUUGAAAAAAGAAUGAAAACGGGAGUCGCCACCAAUCUUUUUUUGAUGAGGUGUGAUCAGGUCACCUCGAAAAGUGGUUAUUUUUAAUAAACAAUUUAAUUUUUAUUAAAACAACGAUUUUGGUCUGCGAAAUUCAGAAAAACGGGUUCGGGAGUCGGUUACGCACGAGGAAGGGUUAGCACCCUCGAUACGCCCAAAAUUGGUACCUAGUUGAUUACUUAAUGUCUUGGUGUCAAAAAUUAAAAACUCGAAAAGAAUUUAAAAAUACGAUCCUUAAAAGAAACUCUGAUAACGUGAAUUGAAAUAUAAGACUCUCUUGUUCCGAAUGAAUAUCACAUCCAGCACGUUAGGACACGAUACUCUAAACCAUCGAAACCAAGAUCACCUUAUAGUUUAAUGAAACCAUACUUUGAAGCUUUAAGAGGAUAUUUGGCUAUUUAGUCAAACGAGAAAUCAAAAUCCAGCACGUUAGGGCACGUUUUCUCGAGUUUCCAAACGCGAAAUAUUGCCUUAUUUAGAAAAAUCUUAUCUCGAGGUAAUAAGAUGUCAUAUCCGGUGAGUUAGGACACAACACCUCAAAUCUCAGAGAGUAAGCAUUUUAUUUAACACUCGUAUUAUGAUUUUAAAGAAUAUGCCGUUAUUUAGGUUAAACGAGAAAAAUCGAAACCCAGUAAAUUAGGACACGAUUUUCUCGAAUUUCCAAGAACAGAAUAUUGCCUUAUUUUAUUUUUGUAUAUUCAAAUAAAUAUGUAUGCAAUGUUUAAAACCAUGCAUAUCAUUUGAGUUUCAGUGUAAAGAAUGAACCUUUAACAUGGCUCAUGAUGUGAUUGGAAUAAUAAUAGAAUGAUAACACGAAUAAACAACAUAACGACUUAUCUAUAAUAAUAAAACAACGAGUAUGCCGGGGCAAUUAGCAACUAAAUCUAAUAUUAAUUAAACCAUGAUAUACAUAAGAAUAAUAAUGAAAGAAAGUGGAAUAUGUAUAAAAAAUGAAUAUGCAAACAUCAAAAAGAAAUAAAUAAAUAACAAAGAAGGGUUAAAAUAAUAUAACAAUGACGAUAGUAAGAUUUGGUGAAAACAUGAGAUUAUAGACAAUCAUAUUUAAGAAAUAUAUGUAAUAAUGAACAAAAAAAAUUGAAAUUAUAUAAAUAAAUAAAUCAAACAACUUGAAGUAAUACAAAAUUUAAGGAUAAAUAGGUGUACGUGUAAUAUUACAUUUAGAAAUAAAAAUAGCAAACAAAUAGUUAAAAGUAAUGUUGGAUAAUAAUCUAGGUAGAGUAUUAAAAAGGAAUAAUAAUAAAAAUACUAUGAUAGUAAUGAUGACAAUAUUAAUAAUCAAAUUGCAACAACAAAACGAACAAAGUGGCUCAAAAUAAAAUCAAAAUCAAAAUAGGAGGUGCAUAAUAAUAAAAGGUAAAAUAUAAGAAAUACAUAAUAAUAAUAAUAAUAAUAAUAAUAAUAAUAAUAAUCCGCGUAGUAGAAAACACAAAUAAUCUAGAUUUUAAAAUAUACGUGUAUAUAUAUAGAUAUAUAUAAAAGUACUUAAAUGGAAUAUUAUACAAAAUGUUAGGAUAAUAUAACAUGAAAAUUCUAAAAUAAUGAUUUUUCAACAAGGCAAAACCAAUAAAGCAAUUUUGGCAAAAAGAGAAAAAAAUAAUAAUAAAUAAAUAAAAAUAAUAAUAAUAAAUAAAAAAAUUGAAUGAAUCCUUUUGGAAAUAAGUAUUGAAUAGAUAAUAAGCCUAAUUAAAAUAAAUUUAAAAUAAAAGGGGUAAUCUGAAAAUAAAGAAACCAACAUGGGGGAUCACUGUGUAAUGUGCGCAAAUGCACAAGGACUAAAACUGGAAAUAAUCCAGGUCCCAUAAUGUAGUGCUUAGACGCGGACCGAAUUGCCAACAUGCGUAAAUUUUGAAGCCAAAUAAAAAAAGGAAGUGAAAUAAAUAAGGCAUGGUUGAGUGCUUGCACAAAGGGGGAGGACUCAACGUGAAAUUCCCCUAUUUUCAACUUAAAAGGCGCAGAUCAGGCCUGUUAAACAAGUUGAAAUGCGGGCCUUCCUUUUCACAAAUAAUUUAAAACCCCUUUUUCAAAUGCAGCCACCUUUUAACUAAAAAAUCUAUAAUCCUAAAAUCAAUUAAACAUUGCAGCAAAAAAAAAGGAAAGAAAAAGGGGAAACCCAAAAUGUUUGCCCCCGUUUGGUCUGCCGUUCAACCACCAUCAGUCCACCAUGAACGAUGGAUGGUGGUCUACCAAAGCGUUCCCCUUAUGCCUUCAUUUAAAGCCCAGCCUCAAGACUCAUCAAUUUCGGCCUCAAAACCCCUCUCAACCUUCGACGCCGGCUAAGAAGACGAGGAUUUGGUGGCUCGUUCGCAAAGUAAGUCUUCUAUCUUCUCUUUAUUAUACUAAAACGCAUGCAGAGCAAAAAAGAAAACAAAAUAGACCUGAGAAAAAUAAUGUACAAGACUUUUGAAAUCUUUUUUUCUUUCUGAUUGCUCUUUUUUUUUUAUGCUUCAAUCUAUGUGUGUAUAAAAAUACAAUGUUUUUUUUAUUCCCGAAAUUCCCCUAUUUUCAAUCAGUUCCCUCUCCCCAAAAUACCAUCGAUCCCCCUGUACAAUUUUUGAUUCGGGUUUUUAUAACCCAUUUUCAUCUAAUUUCCUAUUGUUUCUGUUUUGUCUCUUUGCAUGGGAUGGGCACGAUGGAGGUGACAGAGGCAUGGGGUGCAGACGGUGAUGGGCAUGCGUGGAGGCUGGCGCGGAGCAGAGGCGUGCGAGGUUGAGUGGUUGCGCACAUGGGGCAACGACGCAAGUGGGCAAGUGGGGGGUUUGCUGGUAUGGGCCCGGGCAGAUUUUGGGCUUUACAAUGUUUAUCGAUGCUUAUCAGAUUAUUUACCCUAAAUAUUUAUUGUCACUCUUCCAGUAUAAGACUUAUUUCAUUCGAACUUUAAUUGGUUAAAACUUAAAAUGAAAUAUUAUUAUAUUAGAGAGAUUUAUUAUUGUUUAAAUUUGAAUAUAUUUUAAUUUUUAAUCUAUUAUAUUUUUGAAUUGAUUUAUUCUAAUUCUAAUUGAUCAAAUAUGUAUUAUUUGUAACUUUUACUAAAAUUUUUUUAAUACGAUACAUUAUGUUCGUACCCUUUAAAAUUUUUUUGAAAAAUUUUAAAAAUAGAAUAUAGUAUAAUCAAGUACGACCACGUAUGUAUGAUGAUAUAUAAGGAAUUAUAAAGUUGAAUUAAACUAAUAUAAACUGCAAAUAAAUUAAGAAUCGGAAUAAUUUGAACUAAAAACGACGUAGAACAAUUGUGCAGGAAGAGAUUCAGACUUUAGUACACAAAAUCUAAGACCUUGACCUUUAUCAACAACUUCGAAACUUACUUUAUCCGGAUCAAAAUAACAAUCAUAUUUUAAUUGUUUUUUGCAUUCAAUCAAAAAUUAUUCCAGAGAUAGAAUUGAAGAUUGAAAUAAUUAUUGAACAAAGGGAAUUACUAAACGAAGAGCAAGACUGAAACAUUUCUCAUGCAACAAAGUUUUAAUUGUUUUGUAGAAGUGGAUGAACGACUGUGAAGAGCCAUAGAUGUUGUUUUCUAAGGAUAACCCUCGAUGACGGAUUGAACUGCACGUAUGGGAUUAACAGUGAAUCAUUUAAAACCAGAUUGUCGAAGAACAUAGCUCCAUUCCUUUAAGGUCCUCUCUUUCCCUUUAUCAAUAUGAGCCAUCAUCGCCAUGUCUAGCAUCAACCCCACGAAACCUAGCUCGUCGUCUUCUUUAUCUUCUUCAAGAGCUGCUUCAACGAUUAUAACCUUCCCUUUAUCUUCUGGAAUGGCUUCUCGACAUUUUUUUAGGAUUUUAAUGCAUUCCUCGUCGUCCCAAUCAUGCAAUAUCCACUGCAAUUUGCAAUGUAUGGAUUAAUCGUAUAAGACCAUAUAAUGAAGGGAAAAAAAGUACUAACCAUUAAAAACGCUGCGUCGGCGUUUGGGAUAGACAUGAACAUGUCGCCUCCUACGUUUUCAAUGCUACCGGAUUUUGGUGCAACGGCAACGACAUGAGGGAGAUCAAAGUUGAUGCCUCGAAUCCAAGGGAAUGCCUUGACUAAAAGGCUCAAAGUAGUCACGUUACCACCACCGACAUCGACCAGGCUUUCGACUCCGUCGAACACUUCGGGACAUCCUUCGAUUGUCGCCUGCACCGCCAGUCUAGCAUCGCAACCCAUGGCAUCGUUGAAGAGUUAUCUAUGGCCGGGGUUUGUCUCGAACUAGCUCCAUGGAUCUUUCCCGUUCGCAGCUUCAAAUGGUGAGAUAUCAUUGCCGGUUUCAAGGACUCGAGCACUAAGACUAUGCCAUGGUGCUAACCAAGUCGGGCUGGACUCGAGCAAUAUAAAAGGGCCCAUGGAUUUUUCUCCAUCUUUUAUCAAACGACGAGACAAUGGCGUAGAUGAGAAGCCUACAGUGUGUUGGUUGAUGGGUUCCUGUUUGAAUAUUCGGUCGUGGACCAUGAACCUCAUAAUGCGAUAAAGACGCGACGGUUCGCAUCGGAGGGCAGUGGCUAGCUCGGAUAGUGGCAUAGGGCUUCCAUAGUUUUCAAUAACAUUGGCAAUCCCAAGCUCAAUGGCACAUUUAACGACAGCUAUUUUAGCAUACCCGAACACAUAAUUCCAAAUAUCUACUUCAGCUCUAGCUUCUUCUUCUUCGAUUCCACUCACUUCCAUUAUUAUUAUUUUUCUCUUGGAAAACUUUAUAAUUCUAUUCGCAACUCUUGAGGAUGAAAAGUUUUGUUGAAGACCCCGAUUUAUACGAGCAAAGGGUUAGAUUUUCUCUCUUCAAUUUCAGUUUUUUUCCUAAAAUAAAUUAAAUCUAAUUGAAAAUAUCAAAAUUUAGGAGAAAAACUGAUGUGACAUUAUGACAUUAAAUUAUUAAAAAAUGAUACAAAUGGCGUGUGAUUUCAAAUUCAUACAAUCAUGAUGAACAUCCUAAAAUAAUAUAAUUAUCAUGAUAUAACUUGGUGGAACAUUUUUUAAUAUAUAUAUUUAUGUGUUUUUUAAUGGAAUUUUUUUUAAUAUAGUUGUUUCCACCACUGAUUUCCUUUGGAAAAUUUUAGUUAUUAUCGUGAUUAAAAUUGCUUGAUUCUGCUCAACUAAUAAGGGAGAUUUUUUAUAAAUUGUAUUAUUGAACCUAAAAGUUUAACCAUGAAGGAGUGGUUGAAUGACAUUGAAUAAAAAUAAUAAAAGCUUAAUAUAUUAAUUGAUCCUUGAAUUUAACAGUUUUUCUCACAUUAGUUCUUAGAUAUUUCUUUGGAUUAUAUUAGUCUCUAAAUUUGGCAACCAUUACAGACACCAAUUUCUAAGGUUAAGGGUGGGUUUGGAUAGGCGGUACGUUUACUUACGAUUAGUGUAAAAACAGCAGUGGCAGUGAGAUUAGAUACUGUAGCGAUAUUGUAGUGUGAGACAAAAAGUAAGAUAAACGCACCGCACCCAGUCAUCCAUCCAAACUCACCCUAACACCAUUUAGUUUUUAGCAAUUUUGGUGACAUGGACUAAUAUCGUUGUGAUACAUGCUAUAUAUAUAUAUAUAUUCAACUUUCUUUAUAAUAACUACCCAUUAUAACACAACAUUUCGCUAUAACAAUAAAAUUUUUAUCAGAAUUGAUUUUUUAUGUUUUAUUUUAACCUUCUAUAAUAAUUUUUCACUUAUAACAAUAAUAGCUAUAAUUAUGAAGUACAUCCUUUGUUAAAUCAGUUCUUUAAAACAACACCUUGCUUAAAAUUUUAAGUAAAACUAUAACUAUUCAUAUAAGCAAACCUAUUACUUAGAAUUUGAUCUUCUUCUUUUGUUCUUUUCCUUUUUCUUUCUUUUAAUUUUACAUUUUUUUAUAACAUUGAGAGUUAAUCUUAAAAGAAAGAAUAACAAUAAAAGUUAUUAUUUAGAAUUUUUGGGUGUUUUCAUUUUUUUUUGUUUAUUUUCAAUCAAAUUUAGCUAAUAAAUUAGACUUUUAGCUUUUUAGGUGAAAAGAUCAGAAGAACAACAAAAUUACAAAAAAAAGACCAAAUUACACAAUGUGUAAACAUUGAGGGUUAGAUUGUUUAGAAUCAAGACUAAUUUGACCCAAUAUAUAAAUGUUAAAGAUUAAGGUUGCCAUUAUGCCAAUUUUAGAAGCUACCACCGCUAGCUUGUUGGUGACAAAAAAUGAUAAAAUUUAAUAAUUAAAUAACUAUUUUAUAACUUUUUAUAAUUGGGUGAUCAAAAUAAAAUUUACUAAUAUUUAAGUGAAUACUAAUUAAUUUAUUUAUUUUUCAUUUCGAUAAACAAACAAAUCGUGGACCAUAGAAUUUAAUCUCUCUUCACAAAAUCAGACAUGGGUUCUUUCUUUGGACAAUGGUUACCCAAAAUAGAGAAAAAUUUUCACAUAAAUGUUCGAUAUGAUUAGUGCCCCCACUAAACAGCUCAUCAUCUCAUAUUUAUCUAAAAUUGUGGUAUAAAUGUUUAUAGGGGUUAUGGGACAUCUCAAAUGGAUUAACGCUUCUUUUGGAGAGGAGUUAUGACUUUGUAAUAAUCCAAACAGACAGUAUAGAGGCCGUUCAAGUUAUUAAAGACUAGGCUUGUAAGGACUUGGACUCAACUUUAAUAAGAAGAAAUCAUCAAAUUUUGUCUAGUAUUAGACAUUGGGACAUUUGUCACAUUCCGAAGUCGAUGAAAUUGCUAAACUAGUUCAAGAAAUGAGGGAAUGUCUUUCAAGUGUUUGAAGUGUCCCCAUUGGGAAGUUUUAUUUUAUCGUAAUUUUUUAGGUUUUGUAUUUUCACCAAAUUUUUUUUAAGAAAAUAGAAAAUAAUAAUAAUUUUUGAAAACUCAAAGUACAAUUAUAUUAAAUUUGUAAUUUCAUCCAUAAUGUUAUUCAUAUCUAUCUAAUUAUUUGUCCUAAUCAUCCGAAAUUUAGGCCUAGUUUGGAUUGGUGGUACGUUUAACUGUAGUUAGUGUAAACAUAACGGUGGCGAUGAUAUUAGAUACUGUAGCGUGAGACAAAAAAUAAAUUAAAAGCACCGCACCCAAUCACCCAUCUAAAUCCACCUUAGUUAGUUACAAUCUAAAAUGAAAUAUAUAUUAAUAUAAUAAUAUAUUAUAUUGGUGUUUUGUUCAGUUUUAUUAUGGUUUAAAUUCAAAUAUAUUUCAAAUUUCAAUCUAUUAUAUUUUAUAUUGAGUUAUUCUAAUUUUAAUUGAUCAAAUAUGUAUUAUUUGUAACUUAUACUAAGCUUCUUCUUUUUUAAGUAACUCAUACUAUAUUUGUAGUUAUAAAUUCUUUCAAAAAAAUAAAUUAGGAUUCAUUAUAACAACACAAGCCAUGUUUUAAUAGAGCGUAUUACGAACUCAAAUCCUUUGAAUUUUUUUGAAAAAGUUUACAACUAGAAUAUAGUAAAUCAAGUACAACACAAUUAUAAAGUUGAAUUGAAUCAAUAUAAAUUACAAAUAGAUUAAGAACGGGAAUAAAUUAAAUUAAAAUUCACACGUGACAAUUGCGUAUGAUGAGACUCAAGUUUUGGUAUACAAGACUCAAAAUCUCGACUUUUACCAACAAUGCCAAAACUUAUUCGACAGACAAUUCAAACCUCUUAUCCGAUAUCAAAAUACCAGUUGUAUUUUAAUUAUUUUUCACAAUCAAUCUAAAACUAUUCCAGAGGUAGAAUUAAAAUUGGUAUCAGUUUUAAAUAAAACCGGAUUAAUUGAUAUAUUGAUUCCAACAGAAUGAUUUUAAAGAAAACCACUCAAAACCAAGAUUUAUUGUAGUAGUGGAUGAACAACUGUGAAGAGCCAUAGAAUUUUUUUUUUCUAAGGAUAAGCUUCGAUGACGGAUUGAACUGCACGUAUAGGUUUAACGUUGAAUCGUGUAAAACCAGAUUGUCGAAGAACAUAGCUCCAUUCCUUUAAGGUCCUCUCUUUCCCUUUAUUAGUAACACCCAUCAUCGUCAUGUCUAGCAUCAACCCUACGCCACCUAGCUCGUCGCCUUCUUUAUCUUCUUCAAGAACUGCUUCAACGAUUAUAACCUUCCCUUUAUCUUCUGGAAUGGCUUCUCGACAUUUUUUUAGGAUUUUAAUGCAUUCCUCGUCGUCCCAAUCAU
rnacentral:lncRNA from 1 species